UUGACACACGUCUUAAACUGAGUUUUUGUCAUUCAAACAUAUAAGUGACAAAGUUAAAAACCUUGAAACUUCUAGUUUUCAAAUAUACACGCAUAUUAACAAUUAUAUAGUUGGCCAGUUUUAGAGAGUGAAAAGACAUCUUUCAGGGUAGCCGCGGGGUCUAAAAAGUCUAUAAAAUGUCUUAAAGGGACACUGCAAGAUUUUUAGUUGUUUAUUUUCAGAAUUCAUGCUACCCAUUCACCAAUUUUACCUUUUUCAUGAAUACGUACCACCACCAUCAAAUUCUAAUUAUUGAUUAUGACUGGGAAAAUUGCCCUUCUCCAUGGUCCGCCAUUUUGAAUUUCCAGAAGUGGCCAUAUUUAGCUGCAAAAAUGACUUUACUUGGGCCAUACUUGGAAAUGUUUAUAACUUUAAUGAAAAUUUGGCAAUAGGCAGCCCAGUUUCAAUGAGUAGCAUAGUUGCAGUACCUUUUUUGACCAUUUCCUGCAGUGUCCCUUAAAAUUUUUAAUCCCCUCUUUAGGCCUAAAAAAGGUCUAAAAUAUGUGUCCCAGGUCUAAAAUUUAACAAAGGUCUAAAAUUUAUUUUGUAUAUUUUCUCGCAACUGGUCUGCUACAAAGUGCAAUGUAUGAAACGUGACCAUCAAACGAACAAACGUUCAAUGGAAACUGAGCGAGCAUCAAAAGUGCAAACCGAGCCUCUGCGGGCAUUUCGGUUCUGUGUCGGAGUGAGGUAGCCGGUCAGUGGAGGAUUGUUUGUACUUGAAGAGUGGUUUGUUAAGAGGUACCGUGUUGGCGGUCAAGUGGAGGUAGAGGCGUAGGCAGGAACUGGAGUUCAACGUUGUUGUUUUUUUUUGUCAACCACCUUCAGCACCAAUGUGCACUAUUAUUUACUGAGGUUAAAAUAUGAACAUAAAUUGACACGUGGGUCAAAAAAAAAGAAUAGAAAUAAACAUAAAUGCUAAGGACACUAAAUCCAGUAAUAAAUCAAUAGAGCAAAAUAAUCAGAAUUAAAAUAAUAUUUGCUAUAGCAGCAGAAAAUAACAAGAGGCCAAUUGAAAUGUGAAAACCGUCACAAUUCCAAGUAGUCUAGCAGAGCCCACCGUACUAGGUGUGUACUCCUUGCUGGCCUCACCUAGAAUGAAACUGGCAAGUUUUUGAAGAGCAUGAAAGCUCGUGCCCAUCGGUGGAGCAUACCACCUUUACAACUAAGAUGGGGGAAAAUAGCACUUUAACACAAUACCAGCAAAAUAAACCAAAUACAACAAAAUAACGCAAACCAAAACAAAUGUCCUCACACAGGAAUUCAAAAUAAACAUACUGAAAGCAAAUGAAAUUAUAACUGAGGCUGAAAUGAAAAAUAACAACAAACGGGUUAAACCAGCGCGUCGCACGCGCAGCGUGAACGCAGCACGAUCGUGCCUAGGGCAAAGCUGCAGUGUUUAUCUUCCUGUCAGAGUGAGUGUAGACUCUUUUAGCUGGGAAGAUGCUGCUACACAGCUAGGCGGUGUAUGAAGAGGCCGUGGACGCAGGAGGAGACUGAUGCGGUCUUCAAACACAUGAACGUUUUUAUUGAAAAUGGGUUGACAGUUACUAAGGAGUAGUGCAAUUAUUGCAAGAAUAAAGAAGCUCCUAUCCUGGACAACAGAACGCUAAUGAACAUCAGGGACUUUGUUUGGCCUUUGGCUUGGCCUUUAAAAGGAACUUGAAGGAGAAGCAUUAAAGGAUGACUUCUGCCAAUUUCAGUAUGCUGUUGCCCACAAAUGUAUUUUAUGUAGAUUUAAACAAAAAUGGGCAUGUAGAGUGAGUUCAAUAAGUAUUUGAGACCUUGCUAAUUUUGCUGGUUUGCCCACUAAUAAAGACAUGAUCAGUCUAUAAAUGUAAUAAUAAUAUGUAUUCUAACAUGGAGAGACAUGUUAAAUUUCCCUAGAUGGACGUUUCAUCCACUUGUUCCCAGUAGAUACCCCAAUCUUUAUUACACAUUUCCAGAGCUACAGUGGUGUUUACUCUUUCAAAAGCAUGAUCACAACCCAAACUACCCAAAUGACCCUGUUCAAAAGUUUACAUACCCUAGUUUUCUGAUGCUGAGUAUGGCCCUGUUUAACAUCAGGGACCGCUCUAAAUUGUUUGUGGUAGUUGUGGAUAAGGCUCUUAAUGUUCUCAGAUGACAAAACAGCACAUUCUUCCUGGCAGAAUGGUUGUUUCCUAUAAUAUUUUUGGGUGUCUUGCUGGAACCUCGCAUUUGAGGUUUCCCCUGAAUGGCUCAAUGAUGUUGAGAUCAGGAGAGUGAGACGGUCGCUCAAAAUUUUCAUUUUAUUCUUUCUGAAGCUAAUGGCGGGUUGAUUUGGCUUUCUGUGUUGAAAUAUUGUCAUGUUGGCAUGUCCAAACAAUGGACCAUGUGCAGUUUCAAGGCUGAUGUGUGUCAAGUUUCCUCCAGUAUUUUUCACAGGGCAAUGUAUUCAUCAUUCUGCGAGUAUGGAUCAAAAGUAUAGUGCAUUUGUAACUCAAAUGUCCCCAUGACAUCAGUGGUGAAUGACCAUGUUUCACAGAAGGGAUGGUGUAACUUUCAUCAUAGGCUCCGUUGACUGUUCUCCAAAUGGUACUGUUAAUAGUGGCUGAACAAAGUUCCAUAUUGAUCUCAUUUUUUCAAAUGACUUUGCCACAGGCAUUCUGAUGCUUCUCACUAUGCUUUUUGGUGUAUCAUAUGCAAAAUAACAUGUUUGCAUUUUUGUAGUAAUGGCUUUCUCCUGGCAACCCCCAACAGCCCAUCUUUCCUCAAGUGCCAUUUUUUCAUGUUGUCCUAUAUUUCAUCUGAAGUUAUUUUUUGGUUGUCCUAUGCCUCCUGAACAAUUAAAACAACAAAGCAAUGCAAUGAUUCCCUUGCCCAAUGGCUUGAUUCCAACCAAACCCCCUCAUAUUGCAUUUCUGAAUUGAAAUUCCAACAGUGCCAACAUGACAAUAUUUCGACACAGAAAGCCAAAUCAACCCAUCAUUAGCUUCAGAAAUAAUAAAAUGAAGGUUUUUGAGCGACCAUCUCACUCUCCUGAUUUCAACAUCAUUGAGCCAUUCAGGGGAAACCUCAAAUGUGAGGUUCCAGCAAGACAUCCAAAGAUAUUAUAGGAAACAACCAUUCUGCCAGGAAGAAUGUGCUGUUUUGUCAUCUGAGAAUAUUAAGAGACUGAUGCGGUCUUCAAACACAUGAAAGUUUUUAUUGAAAAUGGGUUGACAGUUACUAAGGAGCAGUGCAAUUAUUGCAAGAAUGAAGAAGCUCCUAUCCUGGACAACAGAACUCUAAUGAACAUCAGGGACUUUGUUAGGAACCGAGGCUUGGCCUUUAAAAGGAACUUGAAGGAGAAGCAUUAAAGGAUGACUUCUGCCAAUUUCAGUAUGCUGUUGCCCACUAAUGUAUUUUAUGUAGAUUUAAACAAAAAUGGGCAUGUACAGUGAGUUCAAUAAGUAUAAUGGAAACCCAACUACCACAAACAAUUUAGAGCGGUCAUUGAUGUUAAACAGGGCCAUAUUCAGCAUCAGAAACUAGGGUAUGUAAACUUUAGAACAGGGUCAUUUGGGUAGUUUGGGUUGUGAUCAUGCUUUUGAAAGAGUAAACACGGAAGAUUGCUAAUAAAUAUCUUAGGCCAGUCACUAGCAAUGAGUGAAAAAAAGGUUUUGUGUAAUCCUUCAUAUUUUGUGAGAAAUCGCCAAGAAAGUGUAUAUUCUGCUGGGGUAUGUAAACAUAUGAGUACCACUGUAUACUACAUUUAGAUAACAUUACAAGAACGAGGAAACAAAAUGCUACUGCUUAUUUUGUUGUAACAGUAAUAAAGAUUUUGAAGUCGA